GGGGGGUCCCAGGACAGGGAGGGGGUACGGGAACACCGGGUCCGGGUCAACCCACGGAGAAAAAACCCACUCGUGGCCACCUCCCGUCCUUCGGACAGCGUGCCGAACAGCAAGUGGAUGGGAAAGGAGCCCUCUACAACACAAACCUCAUUGACUAAUGGGCCGGUUUUGGGUUUCGCCUUCGAAAGGUUCGGAAAUGGGCAGCGUUGUGUUACUGCCCUGCCGGCUCCCAGCCUCCGAGGCAGCACACGGCUUAUUAGCACCGCCGAGACACGGCUCCGAGGAGGGGAAAAAAAAAAAAAAAAAAAAAAAAAAAAAAGCGCUCCCGCUUUUAUUUCGUCGCGAUGCCUCCUUCCCCAGGCCCCCACACUUCGAGACGAAAACAAAACAAAAAAAUGAGAAAGCAACAAAAUUAAAUUUCUUGUAGGAAGAGGGUUAUUUCUAAGGGGAGAGGGGACGCGCGUUCUGCCUGUUUUCUCCAUUGUUUUGCUGUUUGUUUUUCCGGCGAAAUCGAUGAAAAGCCGCCGAGUGCCUUUGCACGAGCCCCGUCUUCCCCCCCAGUUCCUCGCCGCAUCGAAAAAUCACGAAAAAUAGGAAAAUUUCCAGCGCAAACGCCGCGGAUCCGCGCCCCGGCGGCGGCGGAGGCAAAGCCGGCGGGGAGAGGCUCCGGAGGCUGCAAAGCCCGGGCUGUGCCCAGCCUGCGGGCUGCUGCCCCUCGCCUCCCGAGAAAUAAAGGGGCUGGCGGCUCCUCCGAGCCGCCUCGUUGUUGUUUGGGUGUUUGCACCCACUUCUGCUUUAUUUCUUCAUUUUUUCAUGAUUACUGUUUUUAUUUUUUUUGCGGCUCGAAACCGUUUCUGCGUGAUUUUGAACGGGGUGAAUGGCACGGCGUGCUGCGCGAAUCCGUGCCAUUUUACCCCAUUCCCGUGGUUUAAAGCGAAAGGUUUCCAUUUUUAGGAAAAAAAAAAAAAAACAAAACAAAAAACAAGCCCUGCGAUAAUUAACAUCCCCCACGAGCGGCUCUGGGCUGAGCACUUAGCCCCCAGGUGGAGCCCACCAGCGGACCGCCGCCGGCCCCUCCUCGGGCCAGUUUCGGGGAGCCUGGAGGAAUAAAACCCCGCUCCCCAAAAUCUCGGGGAAGCCUCUCUCCGGCCGCCAAGGGGAUUUUUGCUUCUUCCCAGCCACCGCGGUGUUUAUUUUGGUCGGCCUUUUAAAGGAAAGAGAGGAGAAAGGCGAGGGGGGAUAGAAACCAAGCUUGGGGCUUCCCCAGCCUCUUUUUUUGCGUUUUCCUCACCCUCAGCCCGAGGGUACGAACCCGUGGCUCGGCUCUUUCCUA